rnacentral:rRNA from 1 species
AGCGUAGGCGGAUUUUUAAGUGGGAUGUGAAAUACCCGGGCUCAACCUGGGUGCUGCAUUCCAAACUGGGAAUCUAGAGUACAGGAGGGGAGAGUGGAAUUCCUAGUGUAGCGGUGAAAUGCGUAGAGAUUAGGAAGAACACCAGUGGCGAAGGCGACUCUCUGGACUGUAACUGACGCUGAGGCUCGAAAGCGUGGGGAGCAAACAGGAUUAGAUACCCCUGUA